GCGGCGAUAGCUCAGUGGGUAAGGCGCCAGAUGGCGAUUACUCCGAAUUAUUCGCGCGGGUUCGAAUCCCGCCUGUGGCA